rnacentral:ncRNA from 22 species
GGCACACGACUGGCGAAGGUGGGCGACCACCGGGGAGUGACGGUUGUGGGCAUCGACCGCCUGGGUGCCCGCU